CAGCAGCCUCGGGAAUACGAAGGGUGCGAGCGUUACUCGGAAUUACUGGGCGUAAAGCGUGCGUAGGUGGUGGUUUAAGUCCGUCGUGAAAGCCCUGGGCUCAACCUGGGAAUUGCAGUGGAUACUGGGUCACUAGAGUGUGGUAGAGGAUAGUGGAAUUUCCGGUGUAGCAGUGAAAUGCGUAGAGAUCGGAAGGAACAUCUUUGGCGAAGGCGACUAUCUGGGCCAACACUGACACUGAGGCACGAAAGCGUGGGGAGCAAACAGGAUUAGAUACCCCUGUAGUCCCUGUCUCUUAUAC
rnacentral:rRNA from 1 species